rnacentral:siRNA from 1 species
UAGCAAUUACUCCAAGCGGUGUCU